GAUGAACGCUGGCGGCGUGCCUAAUACAUGCAAGUCGAGCGAACAGACGAGGAGCUUGCUCCUUUGACGUUAGCGGCGGACGGGUGAGUAACACGUGGAUAACCUACCUAUAAGACUGGGAUAACUUCGGGAAACCGGAGCUAAUACCGGAUAACAUGUUGAACCGCAUGGUUCAACAGUGAAAGACGGUCUUGCUGUCACUUAUAGAUGGAUCCGCGCCGCAUUAGCUAGUUGGUAAGGUAACGGCUUACCAAGGCAACGAUGCGUAGCCGACCUGAGAGGGUGAUCGGCCACACUGGAACUGAGACACGGUCCAGACUCCUACGGGAGGCAGCAGUAGGGAAUCCUCCGCAAUGGGCGAAAGCCUGACGGAGCAACGCCGCGUGAGUGAAGAAGGUCUUCGGAUCGUAAAACUCUGUUAUUAGGGAAGAACAAAUGUGUAAGUAACUAUGCACAUCUUGACGGUACCUAAUCAGAAAGCCACGGCUAACUACGUG
rnacentral:rRNA from 1 species